GUGCCAGCCGCCGCGGUAAUACGGGGGGAGCAAGCGUUGUCCGGAAUCACUGGGCGUAAAGAGCGCGUAGGCGUCCUAGUAAGUUUCUGGUGAAAUACUCCUGCUCAACGGGAGAAUUGCUGGAGAUACUGUUAGGAUUGAGUUUAGAAGAGGGAAGUGGAAUUCCUGGUGUAGCGGUGAAAUGCGUAGAUAUCAGGAAGAACACCGAUGGCGAAGGCAGCUUCCUAGUCUAACACUGACGCUGUGGCGCGAAAGCGUGGGGAGCAAACAGGAUUAGAUACCCUGGUAGUCCACGCCCUAAACGAUGGAUACUUGGCGUUGGGAGCUCGACCCUUCCAGUGCCGAAGUAAACGCGUUAAGUAUCCCGCCUGGGGACUACGGCCGCAAGGUUGAAACUCAAAUGAAUUGACGG
rnacentral:rRNA from 1 species